UUUAGCAAGCAUUAUUUCUUAAAAAUCACCAGAUGGCUCUGCAGGAUAGGGACUUUUACCCUCGUCUAUUGACUAAUCCGUAUCUAUACAAAAAGCAUAUUCGGCCUUGAGUUUUGAGGCCAUCUAAGCAAAGAAGCCAAGCUCCCCCUGUUGGCCAACCAGUUAGCCGGGAAGUGUUCGCGAGUCAAGUUAGAAGCCUUUUUCCAGACAAGCAGAAAUUUAUAAAUCUUUUGUGAUUCGUUCCUCUCUUUUUAAACCCCUGUGUAAAAUUCAUUUAUUUGAAAUACGGUUAACUGCUAUUCGAUUUUUUCAAAAAAACGGGGUAAAGAGAGAUUUUUCAACGAGUCAUUUUUGGGCAAUAUAUUGCGCAAUCAGAAACAAACUUGUUUUCGAAGAAAAACAGUUUGUCUUGAAGAAAAGAAAGACUUGAGAAGAAAGUUUUCUUUUUCCUUUGUGUGUCGUCGGUAAGAGAAAACGUUGCCUUUCUCUAUCUAUCUCCCUACCAAAGCACAUCACAAACACCAAUUCACAUCUACUAUUCUAUACUCGUCGUAUCGGGGAAAACCAAGCAGGUCGUCGUUGUUGCGUCGCAGCUGCAGCAGCCGCCAUUUUGGUCCUUUGUUUGGUGGCGUCAAGUCCUGUAUAUUUACGGCCACUUGUGUGUACUGCGCAUUAUCAUCCAUUUUCGCCUUUUUCGUUGUGUUUUUGUGAUCUCGUCUCAAGUUGGGGUCGAUAGAAACAAAGAGAAGAAACCCGCUUGUUUUUUGCUAAUAAAAUCAAGAAAGAAGAAGUGAUGAGAAUCAUGGUUACUGCCAAGAGUAGCCUUAACGGUGGGGUUAGACGGGGAGGCCGUGCUUGCUCGACCUCUACGGGCAAUCCCAUAGAGGACAUGGCCAUUUCAAGCCAAUCCAAUACGGCUUCAACCCCAAACAGGGCUAGCAGGACACCUACUGCUCAGCCUAUUGCCAUUCCUGAUUCUGGUGCAAGAAGACGCUAUGGUUCACCAAGAAGUGUCCAGUCUGGUAGUCCCCGUUCUCAUUCUUAUGCAUCUUCCAAAUCAAGCCCCAAUCGAGCAUCACCAUCUACCAAUGGGCUUUUCUAUGCGGGUGCCAAGUUCAGUGAGGCUCCAGCGGCGGCCAGUCUUCCUAAACCUCCACCUCACUGGACCACUACAAAUGCAACAUACCACAAAGAACAGUUCCAAGAAAUAUCCAAUCAGUUGAAGAUGCUCCUCAACAUCAAGGCCUAAGAAUGCACAAUCAUCUAUUUCCUAUAUAUCUUAUCCCCUCACGCAUACCUGGCACAUCAUAAUCUCAUCAAUCCAUCCCAUCUGCCCUCUCCAAUCCGAAUGCUCUCUUUACCAAAAAGAAAACAAACGGGACAGUGCAUUCGCUAAAGACCUUCGAAUUUAAAAUUGGAUUUUGGAACAAAGGCUGACAAUUUACAAUUAAAGUAUCAAAUUGUUUGUAUCCCCUCCACCAGUUCCCUCACCUUGUUUGUACGAUUGAGGGUCACCUUUGUAAAAUUUUGCAGUAGAGACCAUAUUUCCAAAAGUCUAGCCCCAGAGAAAUUUUGCCAUAGAUUUGAAAACGACGAACCUUUGUAUAGGAGACAAGAACACAAAGCUGCUGGCAUCAGGGAAAUUUGUCGGCUAGAAAGAGAAUUAAGGUUAAGUAAGAAAAAUGGUCAACUGGAUGAUCCUCACUCUGUCGAAAAUUCUUAAGGAUGUAAAUAACGGUAGAGUACAAAGCGUGUUUAUCACCCCACCCCUACCAUAUAUGUGUAUUUGAAAAUCAGAAGAUUUAGGGCGUCCGAGCCUCUAUUUUUAAACAAAAACAAAGCAAUGUGUCCGAUGUAAACAAGAAAAGUGUGAAUGCCCAUUGUUCAUUCAGUAAAAUUCAUCCCCAUCUAUUUGCAUUUGUUUGAAUGGCCAAUUUUUUUUCUCUUAUUUGUUUUAUGUCUAAAGUCAGUAUGGUGGUUAAUGGCCGUCGUGGUGGUCGCUUGCCAGUCGCUAUUUUGUUUACAAGAGGAUUGUGAUAAAACCCAAGUUCCUCCUCCAAACAAUUGAUCGUGUCUCUCGCCCCUCCACCCUUGAAGCCUCAUCAUUUCGCUGCAAUCGAAUGUUUAUUACUUUAUUUGUGAUCAUUUUGCAUUUUUUUUUUCGUUCGUCCAUCUUUUCAUUUGUUUCCAGAAAGCAUUCUUUUUCCCCCCAUUUUUUUUUUAAAUUUGUCUUUUCUAUUUCCUCAUGCAACAAAAAAAAAUCAACUCUUGAAAUUGCUCCAGUUAUGUCUACUAUGUUUUUGUCAAUCGCUCUUUCCAUGUGACUUUGUCCACCUCUCUUUGUCAUCCCUUUUUUUUUAACGGGUCCUUUUUAGGACCCACAAAUCGCUAAAGAGAAAAGAAUCGCAAACCGUUUUACAAAUUUCUUAGAUAUUACAGACAUUUUUUAAUCUUUAAUUUCUACAGGAAAUUAAUGUUCAUUUAGGUAACUUACUUUGAGUGUACUCGGAAGAUUUCGGUGGAACUAAUCGUCGAGAGGAAAGUAUCCACUUGGAUCUCAAGCCAUUCCAACAGUGUUUGCUUUUAUAUUAACAUAUUCAACAAAUACGUUAGUUAUUUUCUUGUUUUAAGGUCCCAUUUGGAGCUUUCUUACGUGACUUCCGAUACAACAACCCGUGUGAUUUCAGUUCCCAUGAAGAAGCCUUAAAACCAGUUCGUUCAUGAAGAUAUAAAUAAAUUUUCGUAAAUUGUGCAACUUUCAGAAUAAACAUUUGUUGUAAACAAGAAGCUAUUCCUAUACACACUUUCGAAAUUGCA